rnacentral:rRNA from 1 species
GACGAACGCUGGCGGCGUGCUUAACACAUGCAAGUCGAACGGAAAGGCCCUGCUUUUGUGGGGUGCUCGAGUGGCGAACGGGUGAGUAACACGUGAGUAACCUGCCCUUGACUUUGGGAUAACUUCAGGAAACUGGGGCUAAUACCGGAUAGGAGCUCCUGCUGCAUGGUGGGGGUUGGAAAGUUUCGGCGGUUGGGGAUGGACUCGCGGCUUAUCAGCUUGUUGGUGGGGUAGUGGCUUACCAAGGCUUUGACGGGUAGCCGGCCUGAGGGGGUGACCGGCCACACUGGGACUGAGAUACGGCCCAGACUCCUACGGGAGGCAGCAGUGGGGAAUAUUGCACAAUGGGCGGAAGCCUGAUGCAGCAACGCCGCGUGCGGGAUGACGGCCUUCGGGUUGUAAACCGCUUUCGCCUGUGACGAAGCGUGAGUGACGGUAAUGGGUAAAGAAGCACCGGCUAACUACGUG